rnacentral:rRNA from 1 species
AGAGUUUGAUCCUGGCUCAGAAUCAACGCUGGCGGCGUGCCUAACACAUGCAAGUCGAACGAGAAAGGGGAGCAAUCCCUGAGUAAAGUGGCGCACGGGUGAGUAACACGUGACUAACCUACCCUGGAGUGGGGGAUAACUGAGGGAAACCUUAGCUAAUACCGCAUAAUACCCACGGGUCAAAGGAGCAAUUCGCUCCAGGAGGGGGUCGCGGCCGAUUAGUUAGUUGGCGGGGUAACGGCCCACCAAGACGAUGAUCGGUAUCCGGCCUGAGAGGGCGCACGGACACACUGGAACUGAAACACGGUCCAGACUCCUACGGGAGGCAGCAGUGGGGAAUUUUGCGCAAUGGGGGAAACCCUGACGCAGCAACGCCGCGUGGAGGAUGAAGUCCUUCGGGACGUAAACUCCUUUCGAUCGGGACGAUUAUGACGGUACCGGAAGAAGAAGCCCCGGCUAACUUCGUGCCAGCAGCCGCGGUAAUACGAGGGGGGCGAGCGUUGUUCGGAAUUAUUGGGCGUAAAGGGUGCGUAGGCGGUUUGGUAAGUCUUGUGUGAAAUCUACAGGCUCAACUUGUAGUCUGCACGAGAAACUGCCGGGCUUGAGUGUGGGAGAGGUGAGUGGAAUUUCCGGUGUAGCGGUGAAAUGCGUAGAUAUCGGAAGGAACACCUGUGGCGAAAGCGGCUCACUGGACCACAACUGACGCUGAUGCACGAAAGCUAGGGGAGCAAACAGGAUUAGAUACCCUAGUAGUCC